rnacentral:rRNA from 1 species
UACGUAGGAGGCAAGCGUUGUCCGGAAUUACUGGGCGUAAAGCGCGUGUAGGUGGUGGGACAAGUCUGCUGUGAAAGCGCCUGGCUUAACCGGGCGAGGUCGGCGGAAACUGUCCGACUAGAGGACGGUAGAGGGGGGUGGAAUUCCCGGUGUAGUGGUGAAAUGCGUAGAGAUCGGGAGGAACACCUGUGGCGAAGGCGGCCCCCUGGGCCGGCCCUGACACUGAGGCGCGAAAGCGUGGGGAGCAAACAGG